GGUAGCACGGCCGAGUGGUCUAAGGUGCUGGAUUUAGGCUCCAGUCAUUUUGAUGGCGUGGGUUCGAAUCCCACCGCUGCCA
rnacentral:tRNA from 1 species